CUUCAAGUGACCAGCUUGGGUGGUUAGGGAGACUGUGCCACUGAAACCUAUCGAACACCUAAUAUGUAAGGCCACUCUACCAAGCCUGGAGACAUUUGGGACAGAGACACACAGAGGGAAGCCAUAUGAAGACAUAAGGAGAAGAUGCUCACCUACAAGACCAGGAGAGAGGCCGCAGAAGAAACAACUCUGCUGACACCUGAUCUCAGACUCCUAGCCACCCAGUAUGUGCUGCUUGGUUAUGGCAGUCCUCACAAACUGAUACAUACGAAAACAACUCCGAGACCAUGUGGAUUCCUGCAACAGAGAGGAAUUGACAGGAGUGCUCCAGCCAUGAAGACAGAAGAGAAACAGUCCAGAGAUGGAAGACGCUGACGAUGCCUUGCCAUACUAGCAGUCAGCAGAUGUGCGUCACUGCAGAUUGCCCAGGACCAAACCAGAGAGGGUUGGACCUUCAUUACCACCAUUUGUCCACCAUCCAGAACUGAAAUGUCAUUGCUGUUAUGUACACAUAAAGAACUGUUGGACAUAGAAAUUGGGACUCAAAAGAACUGUUGGCCCAGAAAGAAACUCACUAUAGACUGAUUCAUUUGCCUCUCAGCAUAACCAUUAUUGCUUGUCUCAUUUUCAGUUCCUAUAAGUGUAUUCCUAGUAUCACAUGAGCUCACUCAUCUAGGGGAAAUGAUGAACAACAUAGACUGAAGAACAAGAACAGCAUCGAUCAGACUGUCAGACCUC